rnacentral:rRNA from 1 species
GACGAGGGCCCCAAGCAUUAUCCGGAUUUAUUGGGCGUAAAGGGCGCGUAGGAAGACCGACGCGUCGUGUGUUAAAUCUCUCCGCCUAACGGGGAGGCCGCACACGAUACGGUCGGACUAGAGGGUGCUAGAGGUAAGCGGAACGCAUGGUGUAGGGGUGAAAUCCGUUGAUAUCAUGCGGAACACCGAAGGCGAAGGCAGCUUACUGGGGCAUACCUGACUCUGAGGCGAGAAAGCGUGGGGAGCAAAAAGG